rnacentral:misc_RNA from 1 species
AAAUUUUCUAUAAUUUAUUUAGUUCUUUUCAUUGGUGAAUAUAUAUAAGAGUUUACAAAAUACAAUUACAUAAUUUCAGGGAAAGUUAUACCUACUCUCAAACUAAUAUAUUGUAAAAAUAAACAAAAAGUACAUGAGAAUAAGGGGAGUCAUUCCUUUACAACAGUAACAAAAAAUAUCGCAUAAUUUUCUCCAAAAACUAAGGAUUAUCACCAAAAAAUCUUAGCUGUUAACAGAUUCAAGGCUUGAAUGAAGGAG